UACGUAGGGGGCAAGCGUUGUCCGGAUUUAUUGGGCGUAAAGAGCGUGUAGGCGGCCAUGUAGGUCCGUUGUGAAAACUCGAGGCUCAACCUCGAGACGCCGAUGGAAACCAUGUGGCUAGAGUCCGGAAGAGGAGAGUGGAAUUCCUGGUGUAGCGGUGGAAUGUGUAGAUAUCAGGAAGAACAUCUGUGGCGAAGGCGGCUUGCUGGGCCAUUACUGACGCUGAGGGACGAAAGCGUGGGGAGCAAACGGG
rnacentral:rRNA from 1 species